UAGACGUCAGAGUAAUGGCCUAUCACGCUGUAGGCUGCUGUGUACACAGACGCUCACACACUAGAGCGGCUCCAGGUGAGGAAUGGGACUGUGUGUCGAAGAGCAGUCUUACCCGGACCAACAUGGCGGCGACGUUGACGUAUCCCGGCGACGUUGACGUAUCCCAGCAACGUUGACGUAUCCCAGCAACGGACUGAAGCGGUGGCGGUUAAAAGUCGUGUCCGCCUUGGACCACGGACAUUUCUUUAGUGUGCGUCCACAGAAAAACCACACACACAAAUCCUUACAGACUAAACAGUCUGAACCUUGACCUGGAAUCUGCGUCCCUUUUAUUCGUCCCCUCACCUGAACACUAAAUGUUGUCCUGACCCGACACCCUGAAAUGAUUGCUGCCACACCUGUAAAGACACUGGCCCAAUCCCAGGGUCCACCCUCACAGACUCAUAGGCUCGGUGCUGCGUUCAGGUAAGUUUUUGAAGGUUUAGUUCUGUCCCACUGUCAAUCCAUUGAGGACAUUAAAACUCUAAGGCAGACAUUUUAAGCCCUUUAUUCACACACAAUUGCCAAAAGUUCAUAGCAUUGUGUCAUUAAACUCAGGGUUGCAAUGGUUAUCAGGGGACGCCCAGAAGCAUAAAAAACAGCAAACAGCAGCCAUAAAAUGCAAGAAAUAAUAAGGUAGAAGAACAAACAAGCAUGAGUGGAACGAACCGAAAUGUAAAAUCAAAAGUCCCAAACCAACAAUUGAAUACAAAUGUUUUGUUAUCAUCAAGGUAACAUGAUAUAAGUGCUGUCCUAUUGCUCUGUUGCAGCUAUUUGUUAUUUUUUUUUAAUAUUAAAUUACUAAUUAUUAAGUUAUUUUUUGUUGUGUAGUUCUGAAGAAUACACCUUUAGUUUGCUUAUAACAUUUAGUAUUAUUUGAGUACUUGUUAAUGCUUUUAUUUUGAAGGUACUGGGUAGCUGAGGUGCACUGGGUGAAUCUACAUAUAGGGGUAUGCAGGUAUAGGUGAGCCAGGCACCUGGGAGGGUUUAUGGUUUUUUUUUACCAGGGCAAGAGAGGCGGCAAAUGCCAUUGUUCUUUGUUUCAUUUAUUUGCCAAUGGAGAAAUAAACCAAAGAAACUUCAUUUUUGCUUGGACAAUGAAUUUGCCUGAGCCCCAUCUGUGCAGAUCUACACACAGUCAUCCAGCUUCAGAUCAGCCUCUUCCAAGUAAGUGUCAAUGAUUUUGAACAGUUUGUCUGCAGUGACUCUGUUUGUUACAAGUUGGUAGAAAAGCAAAUCUUCCAUAAAGUCAACCGCAUCAAUGAAUCUGACAUGUUAUCAAUAAACAGUCUUUGUUGCUGUCAGUCGCUUCAUCCAUCUGCACAGUAAACCGGCUGUCUCCAAUCUCGUCAUUAAUCUGCUCUUCUAUAUCUUUUGGCAUGUCAUAAAUGCUCCUCCAGAUAUUAUUGUUUGACAGAGGGAUAGCCUUUAGUUUGCUGGUUGUUGCUUCAUCAGUCAUAGUUGAAACCAGAUCAGUAACAGAAGGAAGAAUUAAUAUUAAUAUAAGUACCCCUGGCUUUAUCACCUUCACCUGUCUGGUCCAAUGAGUUGACGUCUGUCUGCGUUUAAAUCAUAAUCAAACAAUAUCUGUUACCAUGUGAUACAUGAUAUUUCAUUUGUUGAAACUCCACUGAUGUAAAUCUAAUUUUUUCGUGUUUAAUGUGUAAUAAAGAAACUAAAGUCUGUCCAUCAUAAUAAAUCUGCCAGAUUUAACAGGGAUCCUUGUUUCUGCAGAUGUUCUGAGGUCAUCAAUGAUAAUUGUGGAUGUGAGGAAGAACAUGUUUGCAACAUAAUAAAAUGAAUAGAAACUGUUUCUCUUCCGCAUAAAUAUAACAGCAAAUAUUAGAUUUAAACAAAACACGUCAUUUAACUGCGCACCAGAGGAAUUGAAAUGUUUAAGAAUUAGUACAGGAUGUAAACAAUAUAAAUACUUUUGACAGUAAAAAGAUUAAUCCAAUCUAUUCAGAAAAGGGUUUUUUUUUUCUUCCCACAAAUACAGACUUUCAUUUUCGGUACGGACUUUAACCGCUGUGUCCAGUGUUUCAGCUGUCGACAGAACUCAUCGGUCCGAUCAGGAUUAUUGAUUAUUUGAAAGCAGGAGAACGCCAACUGACGUCAGAAACUGGUUACUGAUCAUCCGCAGCUCAGUUAGUCUCUGAUGUUCUCAGUAGAGUUCCCGAUGGCGGCUGCGGCACCAGUGACAGAUGAUGAGCAGCCUCUGAAGCGCAGUAACAGCUUUGAAUAUCUGCCUCCUAACAGUGAGUCAAACUGAACUGAGACAGAGCUGAUCUGG